rnacentral:rRNA from 1 species
UACGAAGGGGGCUAGCGUUGUUCGGAAUUACUGGGCGUAAAGGGCGCGUAGGCGGUACUUCAAGUCAGGCGUGAAAGCCCCGGGCUCAACCUGGGAACCGCGCUUGAGACUGGAGAACUAGAGUUCGGGAGAGGAUGGUGGAAUUCCCAGUGUAGAGGUGGAAUUCGUAGAUAUUGGGAAGAACACCGAUGGCGAAGGCAGCCAUCUGGACCGACACUGACGCUGAGGCACGAAAGCGUGGGGAGCAAACAGG